AAGGGUUUCAGUCAGGUGCAUGGCUUCAAGUUUGUUGGAAGUCAAAUACUCUCCAGAAGUCUAUUCCCCUGUAUUGAUUUGUGUGGAAUUCCAAGGCAUGCACCAUCAUAGUGGAAUGUUCUGCCCAGGUUGGCUCCAUGGCAUGCACCAUCAUAGAUCCUAUCCUCAGAGACAGUUUUGGGAAUAAGCUGCUGUCCCCAGGAAAAACCUUGUGUGCCUGGUCUGGAAUGCUCUGAAAAUCAAAUACUCUUUAGAACUCUGGACUUUGCUGACCUAUGUGGAAUGUCCUGCCCAGGUUGGCUCCAUGGCAUGCAUCAUCAUAGUGUAAUGUUCUACCCAGGUUGGCUCCAUGGCACGCAUCAUAGAUCCUGGCCCAGAGAAGGUCCUGGGUAUAAGCUGCUGUCCCAGGAACAAAGGGUUUCGUUUCAGCAAGGUUCCUAGUCUGGAAUCCUCUGAAAAUCAAAUACUCUCCAGAGCUCCAGUCCUUCUUGACCUGUGAUCCUGUCUUCAGAGAAGUUCUUGGGAAUAAUCUGCUGUCCUGGGCCCAAAGGUUCCAUUCAAGUGCCUGGCCUCAAGUCUGCUUAAAGUCAAAUUCUCUUCAGAACUCUGGUCCCCUGUGUUGAUUUGUGAUCCUGUCCCAGAGAAGGUCUUGGGUAUAAUUUGCUGUCCCAGGAACAAAGGAUUUCAUUCCAGUGAGGUUCCUGGUCUGGAAUCUUCUGAAAAUCAAAUAUUCUCCAGGACUCUGGUCCUUCUUGACCUGUGAUCCUGGCCUCAGAGAUGGUCUUGGGAAAAAGCUGCUGUCCCUGGGACAAAGGGAUCCAGUCAGUGCCUGGUCCCUAAUCCACCGAAGUCAAAUACUUUCCAGAACCCUGGUCUCCUCUGUUGAG